rnacentral:lncRNA from 1 species
GUCAUCUUUAGCACUACAUAUUGCCUAGCCCCUAUUACUGAUACUAAGCAGCAGUUCUCACCAGGUCUAUGAUAGAACAUAAUCUCUGAUGGCAAUUCCCUCCUUUAAUUCUUCUCAUGUCUUCAAAAAAAAGCAGGUCUCUAUUUUUCUGAGUUUUACAGAUACCAGAAGUAGUACUUUUUACUACAAAAGCCUUCAAGAGGCCUUCAAAAGGCAUGCAAGGAGUAGAAUUAAUCGAAUAUUAAUAUCCUUAUUAAAUAGAUAAGGAACUGAGCAACAAAGAAACUGCCCAAAGCUAUACUGGCAAGGGAAGAGUUCGGAAUUGAACCCAAAUGUCCUUAUUCUCAGUUCAUCACUGUCCCUGCAAGGUAUUUAUCUGCCAUAUACUUGGGGCUUCAGCAAAUGUUCAGGGCACAUCUCUGUGUGUCUGCACAAUACCUUUGCACACACAUCUUCACUGAUAUGAGAAUUGCUGCUCCACAGCCAGCCCCAGGGACAAUGCAGAGUGGAGCUGUGACCAGAAUGGAUGACUUCAUAAGAGGAGGGAACUUACCCAGCCUCACUGACAGAUUUUUAUGAAGGGUUUCCCAAAGCCAGCCUGCAGCAGCACAUCACUACAGAUACGCUUCUGACAUUUGUAGUUCACAAAGCAGCGGUACUAAAAGUAAAACACUGCCAGUGGGUUUCCAUAAAAAGCCUGAUUCUUGGGUUAUUU